GGAUCUGACUCAGGCCCUUGUGCUUGCGCAGCAGGCGGUGAAACCACUGAGCUAAAUCCCCUGCCCUAGCCAGAUCUAUAUUGAGAAUCAAGAGCAAAGAGCCCAGAAGAAUGAUUUAAAACAUUUUGAGUUUGGCCAGAAAGGAAGCUCCAGUAAAGCUGUGGACUGCAAAGAUGGAACAGAGGAGAUCUUGACUGCUGAGAAGGAACAGGAGAAUAGAAAAGAUGCCCUGAGGGCAUCAGAAAAAACAGCAGGACUCCACCCUUUGGAGCCCCAAAAUUGCAAAAGUGAAAGUCUUUCCUUUGGGAAGAAAGCCCCAGAGAACCGUGUUCCAGAAUGGCUGUGGCCUAGAGAAUUUGUUUCUUGGAAUUGGGUUCAGACUGCUCAGCAAUCCAGGUAUUUGAGCCCCCUACAGCUGACAGAGAGAGGGAAGCCUGGCUACUACUGCUCCAGCUGACAGCAGACCUUGGCAUCAUCCCCAUGGCGCUGGGUUUAGGUACAUCUAGAGUGCAGGAGUUGUGCGGUCAGGAAGGCUUCCACUCAGAUUUCAGAAGAAGGCCUGGGGGACCAGGCAGCGUGCCCCUGAGAGGGCAGUGUGUGAAGCUGUGAAGGUGAAGCUGCAGAGGAGACCACAGAGGUUUGGAAAAGCCAGGAGCGUGGAUUAUCUGAGGAAAGCUGCCAGGAAGGAGCAGAGCCGGCCCCAGAGAGAAGCUGUGGGAGCUACAACCACCCGAAGCACCACAGGGGCGGAGCCACCCAAGCCCAUGAGAGUUCGCAACUUGCCACACAUUGCCUUGCAUGCUGGAAGUGGAACUGUGGGAUUUAAUGUUUGCCCUGCCGGACUUUGGACCUCCUUUGGUCCCCUUCCUUUGUGUCCUCCUGUUUGUACCUUUUGGAAUGGGAAUGUCUGUCUUGCGCCAUUGAAUGUUGGAAGUGUUUGACUUUCUUUGCAUUUGCAUAGGGGCUUGCAGCUAAGAGUUGGCCUUAAAUCUCAGAGACUUGGGACUUUGCAGCAACGCUGAAAAUGUCAGGACUUUGGGAACUCUUAGAGACGGACUAAAUGCCUUUUGCAUAAAGAGGGCGCCGGAGGCCCCAGGGGCGGCGGGGAGGCCGGGUGCGUGCCGGACGGGCCGCGAGCCCCGGCCGCGUCCCCUCUGGGCGGAAGCCGAAAGCGGGGUGCCUUGUGGCCGCCUCGCCCUCCCCUGCUCCUCAUCCCGCACCCCUCGACCCGGCCGGCCGCGGGGGCCAGGCGAGUGCUGACUGCCCAGUCCGUUCCCGCGAAGGGCCGCGUCUGAGCCGCUGGGAGCCGAGGACCACGGAGACGCGGCGGGACCGAGCACCCGCCCACACCGAGGGCCGGGAGCGCACGGACCGCGGCGCCCAAGCGGUUAAUAAGGAACUUAGUGACGUGGGCCGCGAGCCGCCAGCACGGUGUUCUGCAGGCCCAGCUGGGGAUGCCACGGGAAUGGGACCUGAUGACAGUCCCUAUCAAGAGAUCGAACUCGGGGACCCUGCACUUGCAAGGCAGGCUGUGGAACUACUGAGCUAACUCCCCAGCCCAAAAGGAUGACUUCUAACAAAAUGACUGGGUUAGAGGCUUUGAGAUGUUGGCCAUCACCUAAGAGAACAGUCACAUCCUGAGGUUAUGUGGGGAACCUGUCCUCUCCGUUCAAGUGAGCCUGCCCUGGAACGCGCUGCCCUUGGGGCUGACGUGGGAGCCUCAUGGGGGCCCGGACGGACGAGACCUUCCUUUCUGUAACCUAAGUGGAAGGGACUCAUGACCGUGUCAGGUGAGCACUGAACUGGGGACGCGCACUUCUGUUGGUGUUUGUGCCGCUUCAGGAGUGAGCGUCGGAGUGUGUCAGAGCCCGCGCGGCUGGACGGGCUCACUGCGACCUCGGGGCUCCUGGGUGGGACGGAGCGGAGCCGCAUAGCCUCCUGGACGCACACAUUGCGGGCCCUGCCCCUGGCAUUUGAAUUAAAUCCACAGGCCGGAAACUGGCAGGCACCGCAGCCUGCCAGCCUGCUGCUCUGUGAGUGCCCCUGAUAACUCAGCCCCUGGCCCAGCUCGACUUGUGUGGGUGGCUUUGUCUGUGGCCCCCCUCAGCUCCGAGCCAGGCGUUUCUUCUGUGUCUCCCUGGGAAAUUCAGAGAGCAGGGCCACUUGGGGCCUCUAGAAAACGCCAUUACCCGAGACCUCCUGAACCUGACCUCCCACGGUCCUGGCUCCCGGGGGAAGUUUUCUAGGGUGCAUGUUUGCCUCUAACCAUGCG
ensembl:lncRNA